CUUGGCGAUUAGAGAUCGUCUUAUUAUUAUUAAUCACUUCCUUAUUUUUGAUUUUUUUUCCUUUCAAACAGUAUACUCAGCAAACUCUUUCAUCCAAACAGGAUACACAUCAAAUCCAGUCUCUCAAACAGUAUAUACAUCCAAUUCCAUCGUUCAAACAGCGAACUCAGAAAAAUUAAUCUUUCAAACAGUAAACGCAGCAAAUAAAAUAUUUCAAACAGAAUAAAUAAUAACUUGGAUGUUUCAAACAGUCUAUAUAGAAAAUCAUCCUUCAAACUGUACACACAGCAAUCUUUCAAAAAAAAAAAACCACUGCACAAUUAAGAAAGAUAGGUAUCAGUGUUAGAAAGUCUCCGGCUGUGAACAAUUCACACCUUCACGAGACGUUUUCUGAUGUCGAGGACUUACUCGAGGGAGCAGGGGUUGGUCUGCUUCAGUCGCAUCGAUAUAAGUAGACCUUUCGCCUACUUCGUCUGGGGUCAAGUAUGUUCCGGCCUGUGUACAAGAGGCCAUCAUUUCUUAGGGCCAGUAGACCGUGAGCCCGAGUACAAUUUUUUUUAAAGUCCUUACUCCCCCUCUCCUCCACACCCGCACCCCCAUCACCGGCCGGCCACAAGUGCCCCACGCCCAAAGCCUCUUACUGUGGGGUCAGCGCACUUAGCAGCCAGAAACACAGUAGAAAUACACGGAGUUGAUGAAGGGGGAAUUUUCUCAUUACCUCCUCGAUGACGGAAGACUGAUGUGCUGCCCUGGGCUGUCUGCCUGGAUGUUGGCCGGAUUACUGGCUGGCCUGCUGGGUGCUCGUCACGAGGACAACUUCUCCCCGUGGUGUACAAAUCUUUAGCUGAUGUUACCUUUUCCUUCUCCUAAUGUCGAGCUGAACAGAUCAUCGUUAGUUCGAUUCCAAUGAUUCCGCUGUAAAGUUUUUAUAGUGUAAACAACAACAACAACAACAACAACAACAACAGAAAGAAAGGAAGAAGGAAAGACGAAAACAAAAACUCUGUGUAAAGAAAAUGGAGAUACGUGUCUGCCGCUUAUCCUGUGUCCUGAUAUUUAUCGUAGGCAUCACGGAUUUCUUCUUUGAAUCGCCGAAAGGAGCGGUGAGUGCAGCCAACGUGCAGGAGAAGCAGGUGAAGGUGUGCAACACCCAUGUGGCACACAGCACCUGUCGUGUCCCUCCGACCACAGCAUCGCCAUCAGGGAGGCAGCCUUCAGCGUGCGCCAGCAGCCCUCGUCCUGCAGACAGUCCCAGACCUGUGGCGGACAGACCCUGUGCUGCGCAGAAUCGCAAACCCAGUCUUGUGUCUUCAGCUACUCUCCGUCUCAUCUCGAGGCUCUGCACCGGAACUGCUCGGGCCGCACAUCUUGUGACGUCAGGACGGACCGCACGCAGGAAGAGUCGGUUGCUUGCCCUGUGUAUCGUCCAGAAACCACAGUCAGCCAUACUGUACUGGACUACUUCUGUAUCAACGAUUCGAUCAUGAUCGACAUGUGCAUGCCGGGGGAGACAACCAUCACCGGAAGGAAACUGUUUGCGCACCUAGAUUGGCGCAUCCAGCGGAGAGAUCCGCUAGGCGGCGCUGUGUGUCGGUGCACGGCAGAGAGCACGCACUGGCCCACCACCAACACCAUCGCUGUCUUCGUCGUCGACGUGAGGCUCAACGUUGCUCGUCAAGCUCAGUGCUCGGAGACGGUCAUAAUGUUGCGGUCGGGACGCGAGUCACGCCGGUUGGACUGUGUGACCAGUCGUGACCCUCGCCUCGCCUUUCCGUUCGUGGCUCUCCUCAAUCACAGCAACGUGGCCACCAUGGAAACCUUCCUGGCGGACCAGCAGCCCGAGUUUCUCUGGAUCGGCUUCGAGUCCAACGAGCAGGAGGACAUCCGGCUGACCUGCGGCCUACAGGGCUAUGUCCCCUGAGCCGCGACACAGAGGAGACAGAGAGCAACGCCACAGCCAGCGUGUCUGAAGAAAGCGAGCAACAUGUUGGAGCCAUCGCUGGUGGGGUUGCCGGCGGCGUGAUCUUGUGCUUUGUUGUCGCUGUUGCCGUGACACCGAUUGUUGUCAGACGCUGUAAGCGAGGUAGACACGGACAGUACAGCGAGCCUGGCGAUUCCGCUGAUGUUUUUGGCGAUGUCUACUACACCACCCCUGACGUCAUUAACGGACAACGGCCUUCGCCUUCCAUGCUGAACAGAGACGGCAAACUUCCCCCAAAGACGACCACGGUCUCCGAUUACUACAACAGCGGGACAGGGGGAGGGGACUUCGCUCUCUACAUCAGUCCAGCAGACGUGAGAGAAAAGAAACGGG